rnacentral:rRNA from 1 species
UACGGAGGAUGCGAGCGUUAUCCGGAUUUAUUGGGUUUAAAGGGUGCGUAGGCGGACUGGAAAGUCAGCGGUAAAAUCGAGAGGCUCAACCUCUUUCCGCCGUUGAAACUGUCGGUCUUGAGUGGGCGAGAAGUAUGCGGAAUGCGUGGUGUAGCGGUGAAAUGCAUAGAUAUCACGUAGAACUCCGAUUGCGAAGGCAGCAUACCGGCGCCCGACCGACGCUGAGGCACGAAAGCGUGGGUAUCGAACAGG